GCUGCUGCUAUGUGCGCUGAAUCUAUUUAUAGCUAAGGUAGAUGUGGAGUAUAAAAAGGGCUGACAUGGAAAUCGUGGUUCAUUUUUACCUUUGUCCCUUGGCUUCCUUUUUGAGUGAUCCUCAGCUCUACACAGAGAAUUUCCUUCAUCUUCAUUGAUCCCUGCGUCAGAGAGCCGACUCCCACCAAACACUGCACUGCACAACCAAUCAGUCUGCUAACUGAAGAAAGAGAAAUAUGAAGCUCUCCAUUUUCUUGAUGGUGGUGUUCUCUGUCACUGUGCUCUGUGUGGAUUAUGAACAUGUUAAGAAGUUCAAAAACCAGCGUAUCAUCGAACCAGACACAAAAAUGUCGUCCGUUUCUUCUAGCAGAUCAGCACAAGAAUGGAAUCACAACAGUGUUGAAAAGUUCAAAAAACAGCAUAUCAUCAAACCAGGCACAAAAGAGUCAUGUGAUGAACUAAUACGCGAGAGGAAGAUCACAGGUGCUAAUGGUAAAGAUAAAAAAAAAAGAAACACCUUCAUCAUUAGUACUUUUGACAAGGUUAAAGAUAUUUGUAAAAGAAGACAACAUGUUUCUGAAAAUCUUUAUAGAAGCUCUGAAAAGAUGGAUAUUUUGUACUGCAAACUGCAAAAUAAUGAAACAUACAAAGGCGUAAAGAUAAAGAAGCAUAUUGUAAUUGCAUGUGAGAACAUCGAAAAUGUUCUUCAACCUGUCCACUUCGAGCGCUGGUUCAAUUUGAGAGCUGCUCUGUACUCACUGUGAUCUUUCUAUCAUUGUUUCAUGAUGUUGCUUUGGGUUUCUUAAGAUUUGAAAUUCUUAAGACUUUGUAAAGUUUGCAUAAAUAAUAAUGGGAAUAUUAUUAUUAAGGAAAUAUGGAAGAAUUGUUUGUCAGUGAAUGUGGAAAAAUACCACAAUCACAAGAGUUAUUGAAACAACUUUUGACUUUCUUGUCUCACUUGCAUAAGUAAUCAUUACAUUCUGACCUUUUUUCUAACUGGCUGUUCAUCCUGUUCUCUCAGGUCACAGUCAUCGCUUGUCUUUCAGCAUUCAAUAAAUAACCUAC